GCUAACUUCCUUUAUUCACAAGAGGAGUGGAAUUGAUUGACAGACCAGUGAGAGCGGUUACUCAUUUAACCUACCAAAAGAUAUUAUAUAGCUUUAAGCUGUGUUCAGAAGGCUGAAAAGGCCCUCAGUGUACACCAUGCUUAAUAAAGGUAAUAAAAAGGCAAGAUUAUGAGGAAGAAAGAGGCCCAUCAAGGAAUGGAGGCUCUUUAUUUGUUCUCCUGUCAAGGUGCUUCGUGGCUUUUUCCGGCAUUUCAACACGUCAGUGGUGAAUGGCAGGAGCUGACGGGAGACUGAAUGAGAGGUAAUCAGCAGUUUGGGCUGUUUGAGUUUUCUCAUCUUUAAGGAAGUGGAGAGUGGGGAAGAAGGCAUUUCACUUAUGGCCUCAACUGGAAACAGGAUUACCUACCUCACAGAAAAGAGAUGCUUGUUGAUGAGAAUCUUGCUGUCUGAUGCCAUCAAAGCCCUCAGGACCCUGUUCCCACUGCUGCUGGCCCUGUCCAUAUCUUCCUCUAUCGCCUUCCCUAUGACUGUAAGACCUGCCCCAAUAACUGCAGCCUGGACUAUACAGAAAGCAAGCAAGCUGGGUUUGAAGCUACGCCUGGAGCCACAGUCCCAGACCUAUCCUGGAGCCAGGCCGUGAGAUGCUCAGUUACAGAGGGAAAGUUAAUAUGCCUCGUUACACCCUGCUUUGGAGACUCCCUCUGACAGACACACGUGGUAAUGGCUCAGAAUGAACACACUCCCACGAACUACUGGAAAAGAGACUUUGCGUUGUUCCCUGGGCCUGUAAUUGCUUUGCUGUGAAAAUGACUGCGUUGGUUGUACUACACAUUUCCACCCCGAACAAUGCGUUUAUUGGAUCAAGUUAAAUAUAUGAGGAAUGAAGUACCUUGGGCAAGAAUCAAGCAGCAUUUGCAGGUGACUUUGCCAAACCAAGGUGUCCCUGGAAUCAAGGCUCUAGUCUGGACAGUUGUGUUUGUGUCUGCCAGCUUUAAAGAGCUUGAGUUUGUCUUUUAUCAUAAUGUCUGAGAGACAAAGCCUUGUAGGACUUGGGAACAACCAAAGAAGCAUCAGUCUUUACCUCAGUCAUAGAUACAUCUGUCCAUCUCCAAAGAACAUGUGGGGAAAGAUGCCAGUAGGGCUUCUCGGUUCUAUCAGUCCUGACAUCUCAAUUAUUUUUCCUUUCAGGUGCUAAUUCUAGGGCACUACACCCCAAACCUGGGGUGGUACUGCUUCCUUAGGGAAACAAUGACACGAGGAGAUGUAUUUCUGUCUAAAAAGUCCACUAUUCAUGCUCCUCUUAUCAAAUUGUAGGCCACUCAGAAAGCUGGCUGAUUACCGAGGCUAGAUUUCAUGGUGGAACAAGUGUAUGUGCCUCACUUCCGGAUGAACACAGAUAAAUUUGUAAUUUGCCAUCUUCAAUCAACAGCACUAGGUGACUGCAGCAGAGGCCACCGAUUACCUACGCUUCUGUAAUAGAAAUCUGAGACCCUUCAUACUUGGGUCCUCAGGGUCAGCAUUCUGCUCCUUCCCACAGUGCCCUCACUUCUAGGAUGAUCUCACAUGAAUCUGGAUUGGUCUUGAAUUUUGCUUUUGAAUGCACAUCAAAUAAUUGCUUUCAAAAUAAUACCCUCGUGAUUAAAAACCACUGCAGCUAAAAAUAUUGAAAUCAGGAAGCAUCCCAAAUAAAAGACUUGGCAAAACACAUCAGAUAUGACAAAAAAUUUUGCUGCAGAAUGUGAAAUAGAUAUCAAAAGACGAGCAACACACAGGCGUCAUGAGGAGCCAGGUCUCUGCUUGCUCUCAUUUCGCCGAGAUGUUUCUACAUCUCCAUGGAAUUUCAGCUAAUCAUAUAAAUUCUUUGUUUCACUCUGAAAUCUGUUCAGGUUGACACUUAUACUUUUGUGUUGAUUAUUUUUCUUCCAUUUGUGAUCUUUCUGACAUUUUCAAAGAAUAAGUGAUUGGCAGAGCAUGGGCUGGAGCAGCAGGGGUUUGAUUCGAUUGAAUUCUUUGAUCCGCUCUUUCCUCCUUUUCCGAUGCUGACCCCCAGUGACCCUUGAUCUUAAUUUCCUGUCCUAUUUUAGGUUUCUCAAAAAAUUCUUAAUUUAAUUUCUUCUCCCCUUCUUCUUUUCUUACCUUUCCCUAAGUUUUUUCCCGUAUAAGCUGUGUAUAGUGCACAUGGAUGGAUUCUCUUCCUUGGUAGAAGAUGUCACACUGAUUUCAAACUUAGAUGGUGUCUUAGUUAGGGUUUUUAAUUGUUGUGAAAAGACAUCAUGACCACAACAACCCUUAUAAAGAAAACAUUUAAUUGGGGUGGCUUGUUUACAGUUUCAGAGGUUCAGUCCAUUAUCAUCAUAAUAGGAAACAUGGCAGCAUGCAGGCAGACAUGGUGCUGGAGUUGAGAGUGCUCCAGCUUGCAGGUAAUAGGAAGUAGACUGAUACAAUGGGCAGUAUCCUGAUCAUAGAAGACCUUAAAGCCCGCCCCCACAGUGACACACUUCCUCUGACAAGGCCACACCUACUCCAACAAAGCCACACCUUCUAAUAGUGCCACUCCCUGAGAUUGUGGGUUCCAAUUACAUUCAAACUACCACACAUGAGAAAGGCUCAUUCUGCAUCCAGUUCGAUUUUUCCCUUCAUCAGUCAGUUCCUUCACGGUGUCACCAAAUUCGAGUGUGAUCAUAGAAAAGGCGAACAGUAGUUAUGGCUCAUACCUUCUUCGCACUCACAAGGAAACGUCACAUUGGGGUUGUGAGGUUUGUAGGUAGACUGGUGUGAUUCACAUGAGCUUCGAGAGUUUCUGUUGGGAGCAGUUUGGAGGACCAGAGCAGAAGAAGAGUGAUGAUAUGAUAGAACAGAAUGUGGUCUCAGGCCAGUUUUCUCUUGUAGCAUCUGUGUCCCCUGUGAGUGGCCAGAGUCAGACCAUCUCCUUCCUCACUGACACUCUACUUCUCUGGAGCUUCCCUAUAGUUCUUAGCUGGGUGAUCCUAAUGUGGAGAACCACAGACAUUUCAGUCUCCAUAUGCCUGAAAGGUCAGGGGCAGUAGCCUCAUUUUAGUGUACAUCCUCUUUAGCAAAAUUUCGAUUAAUUUAAUCCCCUCUGUUUGACUUUUCCUUGGCCAAAGAAAUGCUUCUCAUGUUGAAACACACAUCGCUGGUUCCGGUCCAGAACUUGUUAGGUUUCAGCUUCCUAUUAGCUCCCAACCCCUGCUUUUUAAGGGAAUUUAUUUAUUAUUUAUUUAUUUAUUUAUUUAUUUAUUGUUUUUUUGAGACAGGGUUUCUCUGUGUAGCUUUGGAGCCUUUUCUGGAACUCACUCUGUAGCCCAGGCUGGCCUCAAACUCACAGAGAUCCACUUGUCUCUGCCUCCUGAGUGCUGGGAUCAAAGGCAUGUGGAGCACAAAUCUUAAAGGUCUUAUUAAUAAAAACAAACCCUGGAGCCAGAUAUUGGGGUGAACACUGAAAGAUCAGAGAGACAGAACAAGCCGCAGCUAACCUUACCUCACCAAUUCCUCAGCUGAUCUGGUUUCCUCAAACUGGAAGCCUCUGAGUCCUCAUCGGAAUGGAGCUCAGUUGAACUGCUGCUAAAAGCCUAAAAGCUUAACAAACAUAGUUCCUGGUCCUCACGCCUUAUAUACCUUUCUGCUUCCUGCCAUCACUUCCUGAGAUUAAAGGCAUAUGUCACCAUGCCUGACUGUUUCCAGUGUGGCUUUGAACUCACAGAGAUCUGGAUGGAUCUUUGCCUCCAGAAUGCUAGGAUUAAAGGUGUGUGUGCCUCCAUUUUCUGGCCUCUGUGUCUAUCUAGUGGCUGUUCCUGUUCUCUGAUCCCAGAUAAGUUUAUUAGGGUGCACAAUAUAUUGGGGAACACAAUAUCACCUCAGGCAUGUACCACCACUGCCCUGCCCAGGAUUGUAUUUAUUUUCAAGUGUGUGUGUGUAUGUGUGUGUGCAAGUACUUUCAGAGUCCAGAAGAGUCUUUUGAUCCCCUGUUAACUAGAGGUAUAGGCAGUUAUAGUCACCAGAUGUAGGUGCUGGGAAUGAAAUGCAGGUCCUUUGGAAGAACUGCAAGUGCUCUUAACUACUGAGCCAUCUCUCUAGCCUCCCAUACCCCCAUUUCAAUAAGUGCUCAUCCCACAAUAAACUUUGUAUUGCAAAUUUCCGUGUACAGUACAUGCUCUCUACAAGGGUGGACAUAGCUUCUUGUCAUCCUUGAAUCCCUGGUGCAGAGCCAGAGACAUUCUAUUCAAAGAACUCAAUAAAUGCGUUUUGGCAUUUUCUAUACAGUAGUCUUCUCCAUGUAAAUAUAUUUUGUUUUCCAGCUAGACUUUAAGUCCCUGAGGGCAGAGUGCCUUGUAAAUACCAGAGUAUGUGUUGUUCCUUACACACAGAAGGUGCUCAUGGUAGACUUAUUUUUGAGGAUGAUGAUGGCUAAGCUCCACACACACUUUAUUGAAAUAAAUCUGUGUCGGAAUAUGCAGCACGCACCUAUGAUGAAGGCUUAUCAGGAGAAAGAACAGAAACAAUGAAAAGAAGGGUGAAAGAAGGAAGGAAGGAAGGAAGGAAGGAAGGAAGGAAGGAGGAAUAAAGAGCCCUUUUCUCCGGGAAGUAAACUGAUAGCACCUGUAUGAUCACAAUCUAGCUCUGUAUCUAGUUGCUGCAUCCCUGGGGUCUAACAGAGAGAUUCAUCUGAACACAUUGCUUGCUGGUUUCAUUUCUAUUAUGUAGAGCCAUUUUUUUUUUUGGAUAUUGUGUUUGGUCGGCUGCAUGUUUGGUGCAAAAUUUGGAUUAAAGUAAUUGUGUUUGAGGUACCCUGAGUUUUUUUAACCAACAGAACUUCAUGCAUUGCUUCUUAUUUAGUGACUUCUCAAUAUGAAGUCAAGCCAAGUAUCAACAUUAUUAACUCUGUACUAGGCACGGGACUGAGAGACAGGAUGUAUUUGACACCUGUUGCCAAGGGCUCAUCACUGGGACACAUAAACACUGUUGACUCUGCUGAGUGCAAGAACAGAGAUAAAAAAAGAGCACCCCUGCAGUGAUUAAUGUUGACUGCAGUGAUUCCAGAGGCCCUCACAAAUAAAUUGACAUUUGAGUUGCCCCUUGAUAUUGGAUUUUGACAAGCAAAGGCUGGAGGAAAGAGCAACUCAGACAGGUGAAACAGGAUAAACUGAAGCGUGGAAGUGUGAAGGGUUUUGCCCUAAAUAGACAGUGGAGGCCUGGACCUGGGCGUGGUUUGAAUAUAGAUUUUUUUCAACGCCUGAGACCGAGGAGUUAUAUUUGCCUUUUCUAGGUCAAACCAGGCCUUUGGCUAAGUUUUGUCUGGUCCAGCAUGUUCUUUUCUCUUCUCUUUUGAGUUGCUGCCAACAUUUAAAAAUCAGGAGAUUUCACAUCCAUACCAGAUUUCAGUCUGCUUUCGAAAGAAAUCUAACAAUGGUGAGUCUGCAUUUCCUGAAGACAGCAACUGACUGUACUGAGUAAUGGCUUCUCUUUUGAGACAGGCUCUUACCUAUUUCCAGUCUGUGACAGUCCCGUCUCACUGGCUUUAGUCAAAUAGCACAGGCAGGUAGCUGAGUUUGCACCCUGUGACCUCAAAGCUUUACUGACUGCUGCAUGCUGGGAGAAAGUGGCAUCUGGUCCAAGGAGCUUUAUCCAGAAUUUGACUAAAUGCACACCUGGAUGACUCUUGGGAAUCAGCAAACUCUUGAAGGGAAGAAAAGAGUCAGCAAGUCAUCCCAGUUGAUUCUUCGAGGACUCUUGUUUGCCUAAUUCCAUCUUAGACUGGCACACCUGAGGGAUUUUCAGAGGCCAGGGAUAAUGACCCUCAGGCUUUAAAAGAUCUCUUGCCAUGGCAACCUACAAUGCUUUUGUAUUUUGAGGGCUUGUUAGCAUCACAUCUUUGGUUUAUCUUUUCCUUAUAACUGAGUUUUCCUUUCUUCUACAAUGCACAGUAGCAGUAUGCUAACAAGAGCCCAAAUCCAUUUUCAGAACAAAGGAGAGAAUGUGUGUGUGUGUGUGUGUGUGUGUGUGUGUGUGUGUGUG